AACGAACGCUGGCGGCAGGCUUAACACAUGCAAGUCGAACGGGCGCUUUCGGGCGUCAGUGGCAGACGGGUGAGUAACACGUGGGAACGUACCCUUUGGUUCGGAAUAACCCAGGGAAACUUGGGCUAAGACCGGAUAAGGCCGGGAGGCGAAAGGUUUACCGCCGAAGGAGCGGCCCGCGUCCGAUUAGCUUGUUGGUGAGGUAAUGGCUCACCAAGGCUUCGAUCGGUAGCUGGUCUGAGAGGAUGACCAGCCACAUUGGGACUGAGACACGGCCCAAACUCCUACGGGAGGCAGCAGUGGGGAAUAUUGGACAAUGGGCGCAAGCCUGAUCCAGCCAUGCCGCGUGAGUGAUGACGGCCUUAGGGUUGUAAAGCUCUUUUACCCGGGAAGAUAGUGACGGUACCGGGAGAAUAAGCCCCGGCUAACUUCGUGCCAGCCGCCGCCGUAACAC
rnacentral:rRNA from 1 species